GCUCACUAGCGACAUCUAUGAGUCAAUUUUGUUUUGUUGAAACAGUGCUGCCAUCUAUUGUAAUUUUUUAUAAUUUCUUUCAGCAUUAAAUUUUAUUAGGAAAAUGUUUUUUUAUUGUUUUAAAUUAAUAUUUACAGUUCAAAGUAAAAUGUAAUCCUUAGUAAAUCACAUGCUUUGAGUAUUGCGCUGUUCGGUUUAAACCGAGGGGCGUGACAAUGGCCUUAAUAAAUUAAUUUUGGCAUUUAAUAUAUUAAGGAAUUAAAUUCCUCUUGCCAUUUGACAUUUUACAGAACCACACCUGCUUUAUUGAAAACGUUGGUUUGCUUUGUGUCUCUUUCGCGCUCGACUGUCAAGUUUGUUUUGAUUUAAUUUUGUGAUGCAGCAAGCUGCAACGCAGGAAAAGUUUAUGGAGCAGCACCGGAAAAGGACAAACUGCCGGAGAGCAUCGGAACAUCCAACGCCAUCGAAUUCCACCGCAAGUGGAAACUUGUUCAUCUCAGCUGGACAGAUUGUUCCGCUAAGCAUCGUUCUCGCAUGGUUUUAAUUGGUUCGUCGCACCGCUGUUGGAAGUGUUGCAUUCCUCUUGAAGGACUGCUUCCUCCAAACGGGAUGUUGUUGCUGUGGGUGCCGCGGCCGUUCAACAUGCGUCGGGACAAUGUCGAUGGGUGAUCGAUGUUCCGCUGGUCAAAGGCUGGUGCUAGGAGUACUGCUCGUCGGGAAAUCAGUUGAAAUCUGUGCUUGAGCUUAAGCUUCUUCUUGGUUACGUGCUGAACGCGUUCAAAUACCGCAAGCCGCAGGUGCAGAAGAAGCAGUACCAGUUCCGUUCGCUCAGCGCGACUCAGUUCUUCCAAGCAUCGACUCUGCCUGGUAUAAUUUGCUUAACCUGAACAGUUUUCAUUUGGAUCGCGAUUUUAAUGUAAAACUAAUAAAGACGUUUACUAAAAAGGAUUGUGAGGUGCGAUUCGUAGAUGCUUGUGCCGGGGAAUUGUGCUUUUAUUCAAGUUGUGAAAUAAAAUAAAUAUAAAUAAAAAAUCUAUUCUAACAUGAUAGCGAGAACAUCACUUAAACAAAAAUUUUGUAUAUUUAUUAUUAUUUUUUCAUUAAGCAUAUUUUUAAAAUAAAGGGCAAGUACUUGUACUUCGACUGACAUCAUA